UGGGGAAUAUUGGACAAUGGGCGAAAGCCUGAUCCAGCCAUGCCGCGUGUGUGAAGAAGGUCUUCGGAUUGUAAAGCACUUUAAGUUGGGAGGAAGGGUUGUAGAUUAAUACUCUGCAAUUUUGACGUUACCGACAGAAUAAGCACCGGCUAACUCUGUGCCAGCAGCCGCGGUAAUACAGAGGGUGCAAGCGUUAAUCGGAAUUACUGGGCGUAAAGCGCGCGUAGGUGGUUUGUUAAGUUGGAUGUGAAAUCCCGGGCUCAACCUGGGAACUGCAUCCAAAACUGGCAAGCUAGAGUAUGGUAGAGGGUGGUGGAAUUUCCUGUGUAGCGGUGAAAUGCGUAGAUAUAGGAAGGAACACCAGUGGCGAAGGCGACCACCUGGACUGAUACUGACACUGAGGUGCGAAAGCGUGGGGAGCAAACA
rnacentral:rRNA from 1 species